rnacentral:snRNA from 1 species
GAAUGUGGGGGCAAUCUGUUUGUGACUUUGUCACCCAAUUGAUUGCCAGGUUGAUUCGGCUGAUCUAGCUGACUAAGUGGGUGUACCCUACCUCCCUCACCACUCUAUGUAUGUCCCUCCUAAAGCUGUGCACUUGGUUAAAGAGGGAGGCCUUCCUUGAAUAGAGAUGGAGCCAUCUUCAGUUGAGGGUAUGUGAGAGUAACUGUAUUUUCCUGCUAGAACCUCCAAACAAGCUCUCACAGUUUUUAAGGGUCAUACUGCAAGUAGAAACCAAUGGCUAUUAAUGCUUCAU